CUGGUUCUUGGCACGAUGAGGCGGAGUAGCCGCGAGGGCACGCGCAGAUCUCAACCCCUAACGCUGGGGCUGAGCGACUCAGGCCCGGAAUGGCUGUGUCUAGAGACACGUUUAAUAGCCUGUUGGAAAAAGACAUUUACUACUCACAAAGCAUGGACGUGUUCAUCAUAUCUGGGCGCUCUGGUGGUGACCCUCAGCAGGAUCCUGUCGACCCUCUGCAGCGCCAGCAUAAGCGCGGCGCGGGAGCUCUGCGCGUUGUGGCCGCGGACCCACCAGAGCGACUCGUGGAGACGGAUCGAGUAACUCCCGUUUAAAGGAGGCACGUGCUGGUUGGAACUCUAUGUGUAGGGGCGAGGCCGCGUGCACGGCGGCCCGCGCCAGCUCCGCCUGUGAGCACUGCGCCGCGCGACCGAAGCAGAAGCAAGCCGUGCAGCCGACGGGGUUCUCCGCGGCCAGACCGAACGUGCCUUCGAGGCACUUCUCGCACUUCUCCCCCACAACGUUCUCCUGUUCAAUAUCAAUGUUUUAUACUGUCCUUACAAGAUAACAAAAAGCUACCACCAAUAAUAAUAUAAGUUACGUCCAUUAAUAUAUUCAUUUAGGAUUGGUAACAACGGAACGUAUGAAGAGAGUGUUGCACGGAGCGUUAAGACAUGAGGUAACGGGAAAGAAAACGGUAAAAAAAAAGAAAAAAGAAUGACAGAGAGUAAAAAAGGUGUCACUUAAUUUUUAAUUAUAAUAAUAUAAGAUUUUAGAAAAUAACAAUAAAAGUGCAACAGUG